rnacentral:rRNA from 1 species
CCCUUAGAUGUUCUGGGCCGCACGCGCGCUACACUGACGGAGUCAACGAGUUGUCCUGCAUCGGAAGGUGUGGGUAAUCUUUUGAAACUUCGUCGUGCUGGGGAUAGAUCUUUGCAAUUUUCGAUCUUGAACGAGGAAUUCCUAGUAAGCGUGAUUCAUCAGAUCGCGUUGAUUACGUCCCUGCCCUUUGUACACACCGCCCGUCGCUACUACCGAUUGAAUGGUUUAGUGAGGCCUCGGGACUGGCGCGCUCGAGUAGCAAUACACCUGCGCGCCGGGAACUUUGUCAAACUUGAUCAUUUAGAGGAAGUAAAAGUCGUAACA